GGACUCGUAGCCUAGCAUGGAUAAGGCACUGGCCUUCGGAGCCAGGUAUCGAGGGUUCAAAUCCCUCCGAGUCCG
rnacentral:tRNA from 1 species